rnacentral:rRNA from 1 species
CCUACGGGGGGCAGCAGUAGGGAAUGUUCGUCAAUGGGGGAAACCCUGAACGAGCAAUGCCGCGUGAGUGAAGAAGGUCUUCGGAUCGUAAAGCUCUGUUGUAAGGGAAGAACGGCGCAGAGAGGAAAGGCUAUGGGAGUGACGGUAGCUUACCAGAAAGCCACGGCUAACGACGAGCCAGCAGCCGCGGUAAGACGUAGGUGGCAAGCGUUCUCCGGAAUCAUUGGGCGUAAAGGGUGCGUAGGUGGCGUACUCAGUCUGUAGUAAAAGGCAAUGGCUCUACCAUUGUAAGCUCUGGAAACUGGUAUGCUGGUGUGCAGCAGAGGGCGCUGGAAUUCCCUGUGUAGCGGU